GGGCAUGUGGUGUAGUUGGUUAUCACGCUCGCUUAGCAUUUAUACCGUGCUUGCGAGAGGGGUCCGGUUCAAUCCCGGACAUGUCCA